rnacentral:tRNA from 1 species
GGCGCGGCUGCUCGAUCGCUGACGCGAGCCGUCGCUCAUGGCGGCGUCGGUGAUCCCGCUGCUGCAUGCGGCGUUCGGGACGCGGGCCGCGGCG